ACAAAAAGCGACGGAGCCGCUAGUAGCGGGGAAAUCAUUCACCUUUUGCAGCUAUCAGAGAAACCGAGAAUGUAUGGAGCAGGGCGUGUCUAUCCACAACACCCUCAAGGCUGAAUACAGUUGGGGAGACCAGACGCUGCCAGACGUCACAUGCAUUUUUUUAAAGUUUCCCAGAAGUGCUUGGAUAUUUCUGCCCCUUAAUUCCCAUUCCUUGGGGAGUACAUUGAUGGGUUAAUAAAAAAUGCCUGCAGGUGGAGCUUGACCAAACACUUGUAGAUCACGCAGGCUCCCAGCCCAAAGGGACUACAGAACAAUCUUGAUCACAUCCACCCAGCAACCUGGAAACAGCUUUGAAUUUCUUGUCGUGUUAACCUCUGGAUCUGAAGAGAGGGUAAACUUAAAAUUACCUUCCCAUGGGGACCUGGGACUCUGGAUGAAUCUACAGUACAAUGCUGUGAAGAACUGAAGAGCCUCAGGCUUAGAGACCAGGCUAAUGUUGAGAGUCCCAGGGCAAAAUGCAUGGCUCUGAAUCCUUGCAGAGUCUCCCUAGGGGCAUGGAGAGGGCCCUGACUUGGGGCUCGAGGUCAGGUGGCAGUGAAGGGCCUCUACAGCGAUAAAGCCCAGCUGCCUCUUUACCUUUCCUCAUAGUGAAAAUACAUGGGAAGAAAAGGAGUGCUUUGUCCAACUCUGUUCUAGCCCAUUUCAUGGUCUGGUUGAUUCUUUUGGUAGAUGCUGAACACUGGAAAAAUCCUGCAAGGAUUGAAGAAUUUCCAUUUUAGGCUGGGCGUGGUGGCUCAUGCCUGUAAUCCCAGCACUUUGGGAGGCUGAGGUGGGCGGAUCACGAGAUCAGGAGUUUAAGGCCAGCCUGACGAAUAUGGUGAAAUCCCAUCUCUACUAAAAAUACAAAAAUUAGCCAAGUGUGGUGGCACACGCCUGCAAUCCUAGCUUCUCAGGAGGCUGAGGCA
rnacentral:lncRNA from 1 species